rnacentral:rRNA from 1 species
GACGAAGGGGGCUAGCGUUGUUCGGAAUUACUGGGCGUAAAGGGCUCGUAGGCGGCCAACUAAGUCGGACGUGAAAUCCCUCGGCUUAACCGGGGAACUGCGUCCGAUACUGGAUGGCUUGAGUUUGGGAGAGGGAUGCGGAAUUCCAGGUGUAGCGGUGAAAUGCGUAGAUAUCUGGAGGAACACCGGUGGCGAAGGCGGCAUCCUGGACCAACACUGACGCUGAGGAGCGAAAGCCAGGGGAGCAAACGGG